AAUUGUGUUGCUUCGGUAGAAACGCACCGAAGUGCUUCUCAAUCAAAGCUUCGAUAUGGCAUUAUCAAAGCUUCGAUAUUUAAUAGUCAUCCUCGUCAUAUAUUGUCUCCUAGUUGUUUCUCAAUCAAAAGAUAUUGUAAGAGAGAUCAAUGCUAUACAUCCUCAAUAUUGCAACUAUAGAGGUCCUUGUAAAACCCAUAGAGAUUGUAAGAGACCAUGUGGACCUCCCGACUUCCCACCGGCGACUAUUGGUUUAUGCCAACCCACUCCUUGGGGUCAUGGCAAACUUUGUUGUUGUGCCAAAGAUUAAUUUAUUCAUUUAUUCUCUCAUUGUAACCUUCUUUACUUUUAAAUAACUAUUUCAUAUGGUAUUAAAGAAAUUGAUUUUGGAUUUAACAAAAAAAAAGCAUGUUUUUGGUUGUA